UCGUAAAUGUGUACAUCUGUAACAAGAUAAAUUAGGACAUGCACCAAACCCUGUAUCUCAAAUGAAAGUCUCUAUAGCUAAGGCUGAGUACUUUCCGAAAGGAUGUACUGCGUUGCACGUUGCAGCAAAAGUUACCUCUUAUUAUAACAUGGCUUUUAAUGGCAGUAAUACGCAACUUAAAAUAAAACAUUGCAGAACACAUCUCAUUUGGCAGCAACGUUCGUCGUAAGUACAAUAAUGUAAAUCUGUAGUUAUCUAG